GCAAGCGUUGUCCGGAAUUAUUGGGCGUAAAGCGCGUGUAGGCGGCCAGAUAAGUCCGCUGUGAAAUCUCGAGGCUCAACUUCGAGCUGUCGGUGGAAACUGUCUGGCUAGAGUCCGGAAGAGGAGAAUGGAAUUCCUGGUGUAGCGGUGAAAUGCGCAGAUAUCAGGAAGAACACCCGUGGCGAAGGCGGUUCUCUGGGACGGUACUGACGCUGAGACGCGAAAGCGUGGGGAGCGAACAGG
rnacentral:rRNA from 1 species